CGGCAGGCAUUAACACAUGCAAGUCGAGCGGAUGAAGGUAGCUUGCUACUGGAUUCAGCGGCGGACGGGUGAGUCAUGCUUAGGAAUCUGCCUAUUAGUGGGGGACAACGUUCCGAAAGGGGCGCUAAUACCGCAUACGUCCUACGGGAGAAAGCAGGGGACCUUCGGGCCUUGCGCUAAUAGAUGAGCCUAAGUCGGAUUAGCUAGUUGGUAGGGUAAAGGCCUACCAAGGCGACGAUCUGUAGCGGGUCUGAGAGGAUGAUCCGCCACACUGGGACUGAGACACGGCCCAGACUCCUACGGGAGGCAGCAGUGGGGAAUAUUGGACAAUGGGGGGAACCUGAUCCAGCCAUGCCGCGUGUGUUAAGAAGGCCUUUUGGUCUGUAAAGCACUUUAAGCGAGGAGGAGGCUACCUAGAUUAAUACUUUAGGAUAGUGGACGUUACUCGCAGAAUAAGCACCGGCUAACUCUGUGCCAGCAGCCGCGGUAAUACAGAGGGUGCGAGCGUUAAUCGGAUUUACUGGGCGUAAAGCGUGCGUUGGCGGCCAAUUAAGUCAAAUGUGAAAUCCCCGAGCUUUACUUGGGAAUUGCAUUCGAUACUGGUUGGCUAGAGUAUGGGAGAGGAUGGUAGAAUUCCAGGUGUAGCGGUGAAAUGCGUAGAGAUCUGGAGGAUACCGAUGGCGAAGCAGCCAUCUGGCCUAAUACUGACGCUGAGGUACGAAAGCAUGGGGAGCAAACAGGAUUAGAU
rnacentral:rRNA from 1 species